rnacentral:rRNA from 1 species
AUGGCGGCCAAGCUGACCAAGGAGCAGUCGGACGAGUGCAAGGAGGUGUUCGACCUGUUCGACGGCGACGAGGACGGCCGCAUCGCCGCCGGCGAGCUGGUCACGGCGCUCCGCUCGCUGGGCCAGAACGUGGACGAGGACGAGGCGCGGGGCUUCCUCGAGGACGCGGGCGCGGGCGGCGCCGGCGCCGUCGACCUCCCCACGUUCCUGGCCGUCGCGGCGCGCAAGGCUAACGCCGGCGUGUCGGCCAAGGGCCUGGCCCAGUGCCUGGACGCGUUCGACGACGACGGGAGCGGGGUCAUCCCCGCGGAGCAGCUGCGGCAGGUGAUGCUCACCCACGGCGACCGGCUCACGGAGGAGGAGGCCGACGAGCUGGUCCGCAAGGCCGACCCCCGCGGCGAGGGCCGCGUCCAGUGCAAGGAGCUCGUCAAGGUGCUCAUGAACAACAAGUGA